rnacentral:snoRNA from 1 species
UACUCGUAAUGAUGAGUCCAUAGUUCAACUGAGCAACACUGAUGUACUCAUUUACAGCCUAUGUCUUUCGCUCCUAUCUGAUCCGAUAG